GAUGAACGCUGGCGGCGUGCCUAACACAUGCAAGUCGAGCGAAAAGACGAGGAGCUUGCUCCCUUGCCGUUAGCGGCGGACGGGUGAGUAACACGUGGAUAAGCGACUUCUAAGUCGGGGAUAAUUACGGAAAGCAGGUGACAAUACUAGCUCAUAUAUCGAACCGCAGGAUUCAAUAGUGCUAGACGGCUUUCGCGUCUGAAUUAGAUGGUGUCGCGUCGGAUUAGCUAGUUGGUAAGGUAACGGCUUACCAAGGAGACGAUGCGUAGCCGACCUGAGAGGAUGAUCAGCCACACUGGAACUGAGACACGGUCCAGACUCCUACGGGAGGCAGCAGUGGGGAAUCUUGCGCAAUGGGCGAAAGCCUGACGGAGCAACACCGCGUGAGUGAUGAAGGUCUUCGGAUCGUAAAACUCUGUUGUUGGGAAAGAACAGAAGUGUAAUUAUCUAUGGACGUCUUGACGGUACCUAAUCAAUAAGCAACGGCUAACUACGUG
rnacentral:rRNA from 1 species